AACGAACGCUGGCGGCAGGCCUAACACAUGCAAGUCGAACGCCCGUAGCAAUACGGGAGUGGCAGACGGGUGAGUAACGCGUGGGAACGUGCCCUUCGGUUCGGAAUAACUCAGGGAAACUUGAGCUAAUACCGGAUACGUCCGUAAGGAGAAAGAUUUAUCGCCGAAGGAUCGGCCCGCGUCGGAUUAGCUAGUUGGUGAGGUAACGGCCCACCAAGGCGACGAUCCGUAGCUGGUCUGAGAGGAUGAUCAGCCACACUGGGACUGAGACACGGCCCAGACUCCUACGGGAGGCAGCAGUGGGGAAUAUUGGACAAUGGGCGAAAGCCUGAUCCAGCCAUGCCGCGUGAGUGAAGAAGGCCUUAGGGUUGUAAAGCUCUUUCAGCGGGAAGAUAAUGACGGUACCCGCAGAAGAAGCCCCGGCUAACUUCGUGCCAGCCGCCGCGGUAAC
rnacentral:rRNA from 1 species